rnacentral:rRNA from 1 species
UGAGGAACAUGACCUUCGGCGGGGGAUAGCCGGCCCAACGGCCGGGUAAUACCGCGUACGACCACAUGGGGACAUCCCUGAGUGGUGAAAGCAGCAAUGCGCCGAUGGAGUGCCUCGCGGCCUAUCAGCUAGUUGGUGAGGUAACGGCUCACCAAGGCAACGAUGCGUAGCCGACCUGAGAGGGUNAUCGGCCACAUUGGAACUGAGACACGGUCCAGACCUGUACGGGAG